rnacentral:misc_RNA from 1 species
AAGUCGUAACAAGGUUUCCGUAGGUGAACCUGCGGAAGGAUCAUUAUCAAGUUAGGGUCUUUAUGGCCCGACCUCCAACCCUUUGUUUAUUAUACCAUGUUGCUUUGGCAGGCCUGCCUUUCGGGGCUGCCGGGGGCGCUACUACCCCUGACUCGUGCCUGCCAGGAGCCUUCCCUAAAUUCUGUGUUAAACUAUGGUGUCUGAGUCCCAAUAUUAAAUUAUAAAAAACUUUCAACAACGGAUCUCUUGGUUCUG